rnacentral:rRNA from 1 species
AGUGAACGCUGGCGGUAGGCCUAACACAUGCAAGUCGAACGGCAGCACAGGAGAGCUUGCUCUCUGGGUGGCGAGUGGCGGACGGGUGAGGAAUACAUCGGAAUCUACUUUUUCGUGGGGGAUAACGUAGGGAAACUUACGCUAAUACCGCAUACGACCUACGGGUGAAAGCAGGGGAUCUUCGGACCUUGCGCGAUUGAAUGAGCCGAUGUCGGAUUAGCUAGUUGGCGGGGUAAAGGCCCACCAAGGCGACGAUCCGGAGCUGGUCUGAGAGAAUGAUCAGCCACACUGGAACUGAGACACGGUCCAGACUCCUACGGGAGGCAGCAGUGGGGAAUAUUGGACAAUGGGCGCAAGCCUGAUCCAGCCAUACCGCGUGGGUGAAGAAGGCCUUCGGGUUGUAAAGCCCUUUUGUUGGGAAAGAAAUCCAGCUGGCUAAUACCCGGUUGGGAUGACGGUACCCAAAGAAUAAGCACCGGCUAACUUCGUGCCAGCCGCCGCCGUAAAAC